GACGUAGGGCGCGAGCGUUGUCCGGAUUUAUUGGGCGUAAAGAGCUCGUAGGCGGUUUGUCGCGUCUGCUGUGAAAACUCGGGGCUUAACUCCGGGCCUGCAGUGGGUACGGGCAGACUAGAGUGCGGUAGGGGAGACUGGAAUUCCUGGUGUAGCGGUGAAAUGCGCAGAUAUCAGGAAGAACACCAAUGGCGAAAGCAGCUUUCUGGGACGGUACUGACGCUGAGACGCGAAAGCGUGGGGAGCGAACAGG
rnacentral:rRNA from 1 species